AGUCGGAACAAGGUGUUUCCGUAGAACCUGCGGAAAGAUCAUUAACACGGUUAGAUUCACAAUUUGGAUUGUCAGUCUACUUUUCUUUAAUCGCCGCGCACCUUGUUAAACACGGACUGGUUCGAACCAGGAAAUCGAGAGCAAGCUGCUUGAUUGAUGGGUGAAAAGACUUGGUUUUUGAAUCUCGCGGUCCGUCAUCAAUCACUUGGGACUUGAAACACGCCUUUUCGUACUACUACCAGUCUGAAUUGUUCGAUCUCUGCCUCCUUUUUCUUUUUCUUUUUCUUUUCUUCUUUUGUGAUUCCCCUUUUUUGCGUUUGCGCGACGUGAGGCCUGUUUUACGAGAGAGAAAAGAGAUAAGGGCGUAGGAAAGAACAAAAACACACUUUGAACAACUCUUAGCAACGGAUAUCUCGGUUCUC
rnacentral:misc_RNA from 1 species